rnacentral:rRNA from 1 species
CAGCAGCCACGGGAAUACGUAGGGUGCAAGCGUUAAUCGGAAUUACUGGGCGUAAAGCGUGCGCAGGCGGUUAUAUAAGACAGAUGUGAAAUCCCCGGGCUCAACCUGGGAACUGCAUUUGUGACUGUAUAGCUAGAGUACGGCAGAGGGGGAUGGAAUUCCGCGUGUAGCAGUGAAAUGCGUAGAUAUGCGGAGGAACACCGAUGGCGAAGGCAAUCCCCUGGGCCUGUACUGACGCUCAUGCACGAAAGCGUGGGGAGCAAACAGGAUUAGAUACCCCUGUAGUCCCUGUCUCUUUACA